GCUGUGCCCGUGUUCCAUGUGGAACUGCCAGGGCCCGGCGACGAGCACAACGCAGCCAUUCCCCUGCUGACAGCGAUCUGUGAGCAGCUCCCAGGGAAAGCUCGUCAAGUGAUCCCUAAAAGACCCGUGAGUCCUGGACUCAACCAGCUCCAGUCUGGAGCUCUGCAGCCAUCCCAGCAGGAUGGGCAACCUCCUCCCAGUGAAGACUGCUGGAGAUACAGAGGAAGAGAUGGACGUGGACGUUGUGGUGGACACAGAGGAGAUGAUGGAGGUGGACAUCCAAGAGUUUGAUGAAGAGAUGGAGGUCGAUGUGGUGGAGGAGAUCGAGGACAUGGAUAUCGACCAGUAAGAUGAGGAGGAGGACAUGGUGCUGGGAUGAGGACAGUCCCCCAGCAGCACGACAGGCACGUACAGGCCAUGCCCUGCCCCGGGGUCACCUGCUGGGUGUGCCAGGCUGGGGGCACAGGGAACACCCAGCAGGGCCCGACUGCACUGACCGUGCCCUUGCUUUUCUUCCAGGACUGACGGACCUGCCGGCCAUGGCAUCGGCCACCUGUACAUAUGUUUUACAUGUUUUUCUGUAAAUACGUUUUCUAUUGUUGAUUUCUUAAGAAGAUUGUUGUUUUAUAGAGAAGAUAGUUUUAGAAGAUAGAUUUUUAUAUAAGAAGAUAGUUUUUUAUUAAGAAGGUAGUUUUUUUAAGAAGAUAAGGUUUCUUUUUAAGAUAGUGUUUUAUUAAGAAGAUAGCUUUUUUAGAAGAUAGUUGUUUUUAUUAAGAAGAUAUUUUUAUUAAGAAGAUGGUUAUUGAUAUUAAGACUGUUGUCAUCAAGAAGACUGUCGUUUCUAUAAAGAAGAAUGCUGGAUUUAUUAAGAAAAUUCUGAAAACAUCAAUAAAUUCAAGAUCCGUGUCUUAUA